rnacentral:tRNA from 1 species
GCGCGUGUAGCCCAAGCUGGCAGAGUCGGCAGGCUCAAACCCUGCUCACGUGAAAGUUCGACUCUUUCCACGCGCA